GUGCCAGCCGCCGCGGUAAUACGUAGGAGACGAGCGUUAUCCGGAUUUACUGGGCGUAAAGAGGGCGUAGGCGGUCUUUCAAGUCGGAUGUGAAAUCUCCCGGCUUAACUGGGAGGGGUCAUUCGAUACUGUUGGGCUAGAGGGCAGCAGAGGGAGGUGGAAUUCCCGGUGUAGUGGUGAAAUGCGUAGAUAUCGGGAGGAACACCAGUGGCGAAGGCGGCCUCCUGGGCUGUUUCUGACGCUGAGGCCCAAAAGCGUGGGGAGCGAACAGGAUUAGAUACCCUGGUAGUCCACGCUGUAAACUAUGGACACUAGGUAUGGGGAGUAUCGACCCUUUCCGUGCCGAAGCUAACGCUUUAAGUGUCCCGCCUGGGGACUACGGCCGCAAGGCUAAAACUCAAAUGAAUUGGCGGGG
rnacentral:rRNA from 1 species